UACAGAGGGGGCUAGCGUUAUUCGGAAUUAUUGGGCGUAAAGGGCGCGUAGGCGGCCAUGCGUGUCUUCCGUGAAAUCCCUCGGCUUAACUGAGGACGUGCGGAAGAAACUGCAAGGCUUGAGUCCGGGAGAGGGGGGUGGAAUUCCCAGUGUAGCGGUGAAAUGCGUAGAUAUCUGGAGGAACACCGGUGGCGAAGGCGGCAUCCUGGACCAAUUCUGACGCUGAGGAGCGAAAGCCAGGGGAGCAAACGGG
rnacentral:rRNA from 1 species